rnacentral:rRNA from 1 species
UGAUUUACAUUUGAGUGAGUGGCGAACUGGUGAGUAACACGUGGGAAACCUGCCCAGAAGCGGGGGAUAACACCUGGAAACAGAUGCUAAUACCGCAUAAAACCUAGCACCGCAUGGUGCAAGGUUGAAAGAUGGUUUCAGCUAUCACUUUAGGAUGGACCCGCGGUGCAUUAGUUAGAUGGUGGGGUAACGGCUCACCAUGGCAAUGAUACGUAGCCGACCUGAGAGGGUAAUCGGCCACAUUGGGACUGAGACACGGCCCAAACUCC